rnacentral:snRNA from 1 species
AUCACUUCUUGGCCUUUUGGCUAAGAUCAAGUAUAGUAUCUGUUCUUAUCAGUUUAAUAUCUGAUAUGUUCUCAAUGAGAGGACUUUAUAUUAAACAGAUCUGUGGCCAAUUUUUUUUUUUUUUUUUGUCUGCCUCACUAAGUGGGGCACACGUG